GUUAAAACAAGUAGAGAGGAAAGGUGAGCUCAGGACAGCCACAGGUAAGAUUAAUCUUACCUCACUGCAAUGAAAGGCUUUGAAAUAAACUUUGAAGGAAUGAGCAAUUAUCGCUAUGGAAGCAAUAGAAGAUGAGAUAACAUUACCCCAAGUCAACCAUGCCAGCCUAACCUGUUAGCUUUCUUUGAUAGGAGAGUUGAUCUUCCAGAUAAGAUGUACAGCUUGUACCCACCUUGAUUCCCAGAGCAGUUGAUAAAGUGCCAUACAGGAAAUUAUGCAUUAAGGUGGGAAUUAGUAGGAGUGUUUUGAUGGGGUAAGGAACUGUGAGCAGCGAGGAAGGCACUGGCAUUGGGAGAAAGGGAGCUCUUCCUGCAGGAGGAAGGUGGAAAAUGGCUGUGGAGAGGGAGAGCUUGGAUGUCCUAGUGGAACAUGAAUGGCAGGAGAGGAAGAGGAUCAAAUUCAGUUGCUCUGAGCUCACAGAGUAACAGUGGAGUUUCGGCUAUGAAACAGGUCACGGACACUUGGGAAUGACUGGGAAGCCCUCAGUGCUUCAUGCAAGUGCAGGAGGUCUCAGACUAACCAACAUGGCAUGGUGCUGAUGGUGUGUUUACUCUAAGGAUGUAAGGGGUGAGUAUGUGUAGACAUGAGGAAGGAUGAUGGCUUUGAAGGCACAGAAGCUGGUGAGACUUCUUCUGGGACACCCUGCUCAUUCUGGUUCCAUAUGUGAAAGGAAGAUGAAUGUAGGAGGUGGCAAUGAGAGAGGAUCUCACUUUCAAGAGGCUGAUGUGGUCACCAAAGGGAGCAGUCCUGACAUUGAAGAAACCCUAGCAAUACCUGCUUCUCCUGCACACCGGACCCACCUUCCUCCCCUGAAUACACUAACAUAUGGCCACGUGAAGUUGGUCAAGAUGCCAUCUGUGCCACUGGAGGCCAAUAUACCGGGAUUUACUGGGCAGAUAAUACAAGGCAAGGAAGGUGGCUCUGGGAAAAAAUGUACAGCUUUUUUGUAG
rnacentral:lncRNA from 1 species